UUGAUCCUGAAUCUGACCAAACUCAAGGACUUUCACCUGGAGAGUGUUACAGAGAGCACCUUGUGGAGAUCAACAGACUGUGGCUCCACCUAUGAGAGGAUGAAUGACAAAGUGGGAUCUAAGACUGUGCUGAGUUACCUGUAUGUCUGUCCAUCCAACAAGAGAAAGAUAAUGGUGCUGACAGACCAUGAGUUUGAGAGCAGUGUGCUCAUCAGCUCGGAUGAAGGAGCGAGCUACCAGAAAAACCGCCUCAGCUUCUACAUCCGAAUCCUUCUGUUCCAUCCAACACAGGAGGACUGGGCUCUAGCCUACAGCC